UCUUGUUAUGCUACCUGAGAUUUCAUAAAGAAAUUUAAAGCGCAAUUUGCACGAAUAAACAAUGAACUGCAUUCCACGGAGGAAAUUGUGAUGGCCAAGGACGUCGAGACCGCGCCAACUAAAGCAGCCCUUACUUGAUUUGAGAAACUUUGGUAUUUGGCAAAAUAUCUACGUCUAAUUCGUCUGGAUGCACUCAAUCAUAGCACAUCCAGAGUCGCCUGUUUUGCCUGCUUGAAAGGCAAAAUACGUUCAUAUUUCCAAACGAAAAAGCGGAUCACGCUGUAAAUGAAAAUUAUCAUCCCAACCGAUAUCCCAGCUAGAAAGAGAACAAUGUCGACGAGAUAUCUUUGAUAGAAUGAAACGUCUUUCGAUGCCACUUGCAAAUGUUUGGUACCGCCGUGACGUAAAACGUGUUCGAUCCAGUAGAUGGCCAAGUCAGUGCCCGACACCAACUGAUCGUGCAUCAACAUGGAUAACCUUGAAGCGUUUCUCCUGAAGCUGCAAAUAUUUUUUUUUGCUGGGAAGUUUGAAGAGUAGGUCUUCAUCUAUACGAUCCCAAUCAAUUUUCAAUCCGAAUCCCUGUUUAAUGGCCAUGGCCAUAUUAGAAUUUUGGUCGUUACAAAAAGGAAAACCGAUUAAGGGCACUGCGUGAUAAAUCGCUUCCUGAAUGCCUAACAUCCCACCGUGAGUCAUGAACAGCUUGGCGUUUGGAUGCCCUAUAAAAUAAGCAAUUCGUUGUGUACAGUCCUAGAGUUCAUCGUGUUAGCGCUGAUAGCAUCGUCGCAUGAUGCAAGCAUCACCUGUGUUGGUAUAGAACGUGGAUAAUUUCAUUCUUUAAUAAGUACCACACGUAUAUCUUCAUAUUAUAUUAGUGACCUUUAUCCAGGCAAGGUUAAGGUUAAAUUGACCUCGCGCUUGCGAUAUAAAACAGCCUGUGUUCCAGCAAGAUUCAUUGCAGUCCCACUCGACUAUUCUCUGGCUAAGCAUCGAAAUCUUCUACAGCAUUUCGAAAAA
rnacentral:lncRNA from 1 species